UCUGGAAUAGUGGGAAUUCUCUUGGAAUACAGAGAAUAUCAGUGGAUACAGACGUACUUGAAGAAAAACAGUAGGUGUGAAAGAAUGGCACGGCCAAACAAUCCAUGCCAAAUAAGCACUUUUUGUGGGUGUAUCCCGCUGGAAAGGGGUGUGUUAAUCAUUGGAAUAAUAUCAAUGUUUGUUUCAUUGACGGAGUUGUUCAGGAUCUCGCUUCAUUUUGUUGACUUUGAAUUGUCUCUGAGACAUUGUCAAAGACUCCUGAAAGACCUGAAGAAAGCAGAGGGAGAUAACAAGGUUGACAGCACUAUUGGGAAUGAGACACGUGAUAAAUGUCCUCAUGAAAAUCUAGUGAA